CCUGCCUUUAGAGGCACUGUUGGUGUGGCUGCUGUGUCACAAGUGUGUCCAUAGGUGGUGGAGAGGAUAGAGACUAUGUCUACACUCAGGGUUCUGACCUUGAACCCUGAAUGAUUAGUAGCCUAACACU